GAUGAACGCUGGCGGCGUGCCUAAUACAUGCAAGUCGAGCGAACAGACUAGGAACUUGUUCCUCUUACAUUAGCAGCGAACGGGUGAGUAACACGUGGAUAACCUGCCUAUAAGCCUGGGAUAACUUCGGGAAACCGGAGCUAAUACCGCAUAAAAACUUUAACCACAUGGUUCAAUAUUGAAAGACGGAUUUGCUGUCCCUAAUAAAUGUCCCGCGUCGUAUUAGCUAGUUGGUAAGGUAAAGGCCCACCAAGGCGAAGAUGCGUAGCCGACCUGAGAGGGUGAUCGGCCACACUGGAACUGAGACACGGCCCAGACUCCUACGGGAGGCAGCAGUAGGGAAUCUUCCGCAAUGGGCGAAAGCUUGACCGAGCAACGCCGCGUGAGUGAAGAAGGUUUUCGGAUCGUAAAACUCUGUUAUUAGGGAAGAACAAAUGUGUAAGUAAAUAGGCAAGUCUGUAAGGUAACCAAUCAGAAAGCCACGGCUAACUUCGGG
rnacentral:rRNA from 1 species